UACGGGGGGGGCUAGCGUUGCUCGGAAUCACUGGGCGUAAAGCGCACGUAGGCGGAUCUUUAAGUCAGGGGUGAAAUCCUGGAGCUCAACUCCAGAACUGCCUUUGAUACUGAGGAUCUCGAGUCCGGAAGAGGUGAGUGGAACUCCGAGUGUAGAGGUGAAAUUCGUAGAUAUUCGGAAGAACACCAGUGGCGAAGGCGGCUCACUGGUCCGGUACUGACGCUGAGGUGCGAAAGCGUGGGGAGCAAACAGG
rnacentral:rRNA from 1 species